UACGAAGGGGGCUAGCGUUGUUCGGAAUUACUGGGCGUAAAGCGCGUGUAGGCGGUUGUUCAAGUCAGGGGUGAAAGCCUUGAGCUCAACUCAAGAAAUGCACUUGAUACUGGAUGACUAGAGGACCGGAGAGGAUAGUGGAAUUCCCAGUGUAGUGGUGAAAUACGUAGAGAUUGGGAAGAACACCAGUGGCGAAGGCGGCUAUCUGGACGGUUUCUGACGCUAAGACGCGAAAGCGUGGGGAGCAAACAGG
rnacentral:rRNA from 1 species